rfam:Pseudocercospora fijiensis CIRAD86 unplaced genomic scaffold MYCFIscaffold_9, whole genome shotgun sequence.
ACUCCCUUGACGCAGUGGCUUAGCGUGUCGUUCUUAUAUUCAACCCACGGGCUGAGAUAUGCGAAAGUCGCGAGUUCGAAUCUCGCAGGGAGUA